rnacentral:lncRNA from 1 species
ACUUUCUAAUUUGACCCUUUAAUCCGAAAAGAUGUACUUUUAGUAAGAAUCUUUCACUUUUACUCUUAAGAGAGGGACUUGUUGGUCUCAGUCAUUUAAUUUUACACCCAAAAGGUGCAUUGGUUGAUCAAAAUCAUUCAUUCAUCUUUGCAUUAUGCAUUGUUGCAAGUAGUUGUGAUUGGGUUUGACACCCGCAAAAGCUUUUGAUGAUA